AGUGAACGCUGGCGGUAGGCCUAACACAUGCAAGUCGAACGGCAGCACAGUAAGAGCUUGCUCUUACGGGUGGCGAGUGGCGGACGGGUGAGGAAUACAUCGGAAUCUACUUUUUCGUGGGGGAUAACGUAGGGAAACUUACGCUAAUACCGCAUACGACCUACGGGUGAAAGCAGGGGAUCUUCGGACCUUGCGCGAUUGAAUGAGCCGCUGUCGGAUUAGCUAGUUGGCGGGGUAAAGGCCCACCAAGGCGACGAUCCGUAGCUGGACUGAGAGGAUGGUCGCCGACCUGGGAGCGGGACCAGGCUCCUGACUCCUGCGGGAGGCAGCAGUGUGGAAUAGUGGGCAAUGGGGGCAAGCCUGGUCCAGCCGGACCGCGUGUGUGGAGAAGACCUUCGGGUUGUGAUGCCGUCUUUUGGGGAGAGAACAGCAGCCGCUUGAGACCACGCGGUUGUGACGGUACCCAAUGAAUAAGCACCGGCUAACUACGUG
rnacentral:rRNA from 1 species